rnacentral:rRNA from 1 species
AGUGAACGCUGGCGGUAGGCCUAACACAUGCAAGUCGAACGGCAGCACAGUAAGAGCUUGCUCUUACGGGUGGCGAGUGGCGGACGGGUGAGGAAUACAUCGGAAUCUACUUUUUCGUGGGGGAUAACGUAGGGAAACUUACGCUAAUACCGCAGACGACCUACGGGUGAAAGCAGGGGAUCGUCGGACCUUGCGCGAUUGAAUGAGCCGAUGUCGGAUUAGCUAGUUGGCGGGGUAAAGGCCCACCAAGGCGACGAUCCGUAGCUGGUCUGAGAGGAUGAUCAGCCACACUGGAACUGAGACACGGUCCAGACUCCUACGGGAGGCAGCAGUGGGGAAUAUUGGACAAUGGGCGCAAGCCUGAUCCAGCCAUACCGCGUGGGUGAAGAAGGCCUUCGGGUUGUAAAGCCCUUUUGUUGGGAAAGAAAAGCAGCAGGUUAAUACCCCGCUGUUCUGACGGUACCCAAAGAAUAAGCACCGGCUAACUUCGUG